UACGUAGGGUGCGAGCGUUAAUCGGAAUUACUGGGCGUAAAGCGUGCGUAGGCGGUUCGCUGUGUCCGAUGUGAAAUCCCCGGGCUCAACCUGGGAACUGCAUUUGUGACUGCAUGGCUAGAGUACGGUAGAGGGGGAUGGAAUUCCGCGUGUAGCAGUGAAAUGCGUAGAUAUGCGGAGGAACACCGAUGGCGAAGGCAAUCCCCUGGACCUGUACUGACGCUCAUGCACGAAAGCGUGGGGAGCAAACAGG
rnacentral:rRNA from 1 species